UGGGGAAUAUUGCACAAUGGGCGGAAGCCUGAUGCAGCAACGCCGCGUGCGGGAUGACGGCCUUCGGGUUGUAAACCGCUUUCGCCUGUGACGAAGCGUGAGUGACGGUAAUGGGUAAAGAAGCACCGGCUAACUACGUGCCAGCAGCCGCGGUGAUACGUAGGGUGCGAGCGUUGUCCGGAUUUAUUGGGCGUAAAGGGCUCGUAGGUGGUUGAUCGCGUCGGAAGUGUAAUCUUGGGGCUUAACCCUGAGCGUGCUUUCGAUACGGGUUGACUUGAGGAAGGUAGGGGAGAAUGGAAUUCCUGGUGGAGCGGUGGAAUGCGCAGAUAUCAGGAGGAACACCAGUGGCGAAGGCGGUUCUCUGGGCCCUUCCUGACGCUGAGGAGCGAAAGCGUGGGGAGCGAACAGGCUUAGAUACCCUGGUAGUCCACGCUGUAAACGGUGGGUACUAGGUGUGGGGGUCCAUUCCACGGGUUCCGUGCCGUAGCUAACGCUUUAAGUACCCCGCCUGGGGAGUACGGCCGCAAGGCU
rnacentral:rRNA from 1 species